UACGGGGGGGGCAAGCGUUGUUCGGCAUUACUGGGCGUAAAGGGCUCGUCGGCGGCCAACUAAGUCAGACGUGAAAUCCCUCGGCUUAACCGGGGAACUGCGUCUGAUACUGGAUGGCUUGAGGUUGGGAGAGGGAUGCGGAAUUCCAGGUGUAGCGGUGAAAUGCGUAGAUAUCUGGAGGAACACCGGUGGCGAAGGCGGCAUCCUGGACCAAUUCUGACGCUGAGGAGCGAAAGCCAGGGGAGCAAACGGG
rnacentral:rRNA from 1 species